UCAGCACAGAGCCCGACGACGUGGGGCUGAAACUUCCGAACCCUGAGAUCAUGACCUGAGCCGAAGUCGGAAGCUUAACCCACUGAGCCACCAAGGCCCCCAUCAAGGACAUUCUUAAAUGAAACUGGCUUUCCUCCCUGUACCGUGUUUCCAGAAGCGGAGGUGCAAGAUUCACAUGUAUAUGCAUGUAUAUGGACCCAAACGGGACAAAGCAAUUCCCCUACAUGGCAGGGAGAACGCCAUGAGAAGACAGCAGAGACCUGGGUGACACAGCCAAGGAACACCAAAGAUUGGCAGCAAACCACCAGAAGCCAGGAGAGAGGCACAGAACACAUUCUCGCAGCCCUCAGAAGGAGCCAACCCUGCAGAAACCCUGGUCUCAGACUUCCAGCCUCCAGAGCUGUGACACAAUACAUUUCUGUUGUUUAAGCCA